rnacentral:lncRNA from 1 species
GCUGCUGUGCUCUUAAGAGCACAGCAGCCCCUGUGCUAUAAAGUUCUCCACCCUCCAUCUAUCAAGAUGGAGGGCUGAGAUUAAAACCCCACUUAACAAGCUUCCACUGUUUAGAGCCCGUUAGAAUUAACAGACUACUAUUCUCUCUCCUCUUUUCUUUUUUUUUUUUAAUUUUCCCUUCUUCUCCUCUCCUCCAAUCUCUCUCCCUCUCCCUCUCCCUCUAGAUCCCCCUCUCC